rnacentral:sRNA from 1 species
CUUCUUCGAUCUGCUGCGGGCAGAUGAAGUGGAUGUGCGUGUCGACGCCGCCGGCGGUCAAGAUCAUGCCUUCGCCCGCGAUGAUUUCGGUGGCGGCACCGAUGGCGAUGGUCACGCCGGGCUGGAUGUCCGGGUUGCCGGCCUUGCCGAUGGCUGCGAUGCGCCCGUCCUUGAGGCCAACGUCGGCUUUGACGAUGCCCCAGUGAUCGACGAUCAGCGCGUUGGUGAUCAGCGUGUCGACUACGUCGGCGGCGACGCCCUGACCCUGACCCAUGCCGUCACGGAUG